GACGAACCGUCCAAACGUUAUUCGGUAUCACUGGGUUUAAAGGGUGCGUAGGCGGCUUAAUAAGUUAGGUGUGAAAGACCUCGGCUCAACCGAGGAAUUGCGCUUAAAACUGUUAGGCUUGAGGAAGGUAGAGGUAAGCGGAACUUGCGGUGGAGCGGUGAAAUGCAUUGAUAUCGCAGGGAACACCAGUGGCGAAGGCGGCUUACUGGGCCUUUUCUGACGCUGAGGCACGAAAGCUAGGGUAGCGAACGGG
rnacentral:rRNA from 1 species